AUUGAACGCUGGCGGAAUGCUUUACACAUGCAAGUCGAACGGCAGCACGGGAGCUUGCUCCUGGUGGCGAGUGGCGAACGGGUGAGUAAUACAUCGGAACGUACCCAGUUAUGGGGGAUAACUAACCGAAAGGUUAGCUAAUACCGCAUACGCCCUGAGGGGGAAAGCUAGGGAUCUUCGGACCUGGCGUUGAUGGAGCG
rnacentral:rRNA from 1 species